rnacentral:rRNA from 1 species
AUUGAACGCUGGCGGCAUGCCUUACACAUGCAAGUCGAACGGGGGUAGCAAUACCCUAGUGGCGAACGGGUGAGUAAAGCAUCGGAACGUACCCAGUCGUGGGGGAUAACGUAGCGAAAGUUACGCUAAUACCGCAUACGAUCUGAGGAUGAAAGCAGGGGACUCGCAAGAGCCUUGCGCGAUUGGAGCGGCCGAUGUCGGAUUAGCUAGUUGGUGGGGUAAAAGCCUACCAAGGCGACGAUCCUUAGCUGGUCUGAGAGGAUGAUCGGCCACAAUGGGACUGAGACACGGCCCAGACUCCUACGGGAGGCAGCAGUGGGGAACUUUGGACAAUGGGGGAAACCCUGAUCCAGCCAUGCCGCGUGAGUGAAGAAGGCCUUCGGGUUGUAAAGCUCUUUCAGACGGAAAGAAAUGGUCUUGGCUAAUACCCGAGAUCGAUGACGGUACCGUAAGAAGAAGCACCGGCUAACUACGUGCCAGCAGCCGCAGUAA